CCUACGGGAGGCAGCAGUGAGGAAUAUUGGUCAAUGGACGAGAGUCUGAACCAGCCAAGUAGCGUGAAGGAUGACGGCCCUAUGGGUUGUAAACUUCUUUUAUAUGGGAAUAAAAUGUUCCACGUGUGGGAUUUUGUAUGUACCAUAUGAAUAAGGAUCGGCUAACCCCGUGCCAGCAGCCGCGGUAAUACGGAGGAUCCGAGCGUUAUCCGGAUUUAUUGGGUUUAAAGGGAGCGUAGGUGGAUUGUUAAGUCAGUUGUGAAAGUUUGCGGCUCAACCGUAAAAUUGCAGUUGAAACUGGCAGUCUUGAGUACAGUAGAGGUGGGCGGAAUUCGUGGUGUAGCGGUGAAAUGCUUAGAUAUCACGAAGAACUCCGAUUGCGAAGGCAGUUCACUGGAACACAACUGACACUGAGGCUCGAAAGUGUGGGUAUCAAACAGGAUUAGAUACCCCAGUAGUC
rnacentral:rRNA from 1 species